AAUUUAACAAAUUUAUUUUGUUACACCAAAUCUUGUUACACCAAAAACUACACAACAUCAUGGGGAAAAAAAAAUGAAGAUCUAAAUAAGUGGAAAUAUGGCCAUGUUCGUGGAUUGUCUAAUUCAUGAAUAUUGUUUAAUAUACUACCAAAAAACAGAUUCAGUGUAAUCUCUAUCAAAAUCGCAAUGGUAUUUCUUACAAAAUGGAAAACUCAUCUUAAAUUCAUAUGAUAGUUCAUAUGAUAGUUGGGGGCCCCAAAUAGUCAAAAUAAUCUUGACAGAGAAGAACAAAAUCAGAAGGCUCACACUGCCUGAUUUUAACACUUACUACAAAGCUAUAGUGAUCAAGGCAGUGUAAUACUGGCAUAAGACAGAUAUAUAUAGAGAUAUAACUCAGUGGAAUAAAAUUGAGAAAUAAACCAUUACAUAUGUGGUCCAUUGAUUUAUUUUUUUAUUUUUAUUUAUUCAUGAGAGACACACAGAGAGAGGUAGAGACACAGGCAGAGGGAGAAGCAGGCUCCAUGCAGGGAGCCCGACGCGGGACUCGAUCCCAGGAAUUUGAGAUCACGACCUGAGCCAAAGGCAGACGCUCAUCUGCUGAGCCACGCACAUGCCCCUGGUCCAUUGACUUUUGACAAGGGUGCCAAGAACGUUUAUUAGGGAAAGAAUAGUUUUUUUUCAACAAAUGGUGCUGGGGCAACUGUGUAUCCACAUGCAAUAGAGUGAAGUUAGAACCCCCUACCUCACACCACAUACAAAAAUUAACUCAAAAUAGAUCAAAGACCUAAACAUCAAGGUAACACUGUAGAACUCUUAGAAUAAAACAAAGAGGUAAAUCUUUGUAACCUUGGAUUUGACGAUGGUUUCUGAGAUGUGACACCAAAAGCACAAGGGAAAAAAGAAAAAACAUCCAUCGGGUAUCAUAAAAAUGAAAGACUUUUGCGCAUCAAAGGAUGCUAUCAAGAAAGUGAAAAGACAAUUCACAAGAUAUUUGCAAACAUAUUUCAAAUGACUUAAGAGAAUAUGUUGCAUAAAAGUCUCCUCUCAAAAAACUUCUCCAUGGUGGGGUGGAAGGAGAAGACUCUUCCCUAACAUACAGGGUGCAGGGUAUCCUGUCCUGCCCUUCCUGGAGCGCGUUCGCCCAAAGGCGAUCUGCCCAUCUAGGAAAUUAGGGAAAUAAAAAUCAGAGAAGGGUGGGAAGAAGCAGGGACACUUGCCCCUGGGGCAGCCACAGUUCUCUGGGAACUUGCUCACAAAUUCCCC
rnacentral:lncRNA from 1 species